rnacentral:rRNA from 1 species
UACAGAGGUGUCAAGCGUUGUUCGGAUUCAUUUGGCGUAAAGGGUGCGUAGGCGGCGCGUUAAGUCGGAUGUGAAAUCUCGGAGCUUAACUCCGAAACUGCAUUCGAUACUGCCGUGCUUGAGGACUGGAGAGGAGACUGGAAUUUACGGUGUAGCGGUGAAAUGCGUAGAUAUCUGGAGGAACACCGGUGGCGAAGGCGGCGACCUGGACCGACACUGACACUGAGGAGCGAAAGCCAGGGGAGCAAACGGG